rnacentral:rRNA from 1 species
UAAGCAGAGUAUGAAAUGUCACGGCUCAACCGUGAAACGUAUUCUGAACUGGUAGACUUGAGGGCGAGAGAGGUUACUAGAAUUUCUUGUGUAGGAGUGAAAUCCGUAGAUAUAAGAAGGAAUACCGAUGGCGUAAGCAGGUAACUGGCUCGCACCUGACACUGAGGCACGAAAGCGUGGGGAGCAAACGGGAUUAGAUACCCCCGGGUAGUCCACGCCGUAAACUAUGGAUGCUA